rnacentral:rRNA from 1 species
AUUGAACGCUGGCGGCAGGCUUAACACAUGCAAGUCGAACGAGUGGCGGACGGGUGAGUAAUGCUUGGGAAUCUAGCUUAUGGAGGGGGAUAACUACGGGAAACUGUAGCUAAUACCGCGUACCAUAGGAUGAGCCCAAGUGGGAUUCGGUGGGUGGGGAGGUAAAGGCUCACCAAGCCGACGAUCUCUAGCUGGUCUGAGAGGAUGACCGGCCACACUGGGACUGAGACACGGCCCAGACUCCUACGGGAGGCAGCAGAGGGGAAUAGUGCGCAAUGGGGGCAACCCUGACGCAGCCAUGCCGCGUGAAUGAAGAAGGCCUUAGGGGUGUAAAGUACUUUCAGCGGGGAGGCGUUACCCGCAGAAGAAGCACCGGCUAACUCCGUGCCAGCAGCCGCGGUAAUAC